AACCUCAUCGACUGGAAGGGAUUCCUUCCGGUCGAUGAGGGAUAUCUUCCUCAUUGACCGGAAGGAAUCCCUUCCGGUCGAUGAGGUU
rnacentral:miRNA from 1 species